rnacentral:lncRNA from 1 species
GAAUAAUGCAAUAGAAGUACAGGUUUCAGCAGAACCUCUUUACAGCUUCUAGACUGGAGUAAAUUAUCUAGAAAUAAUAACUUCCAAAGCAACUACACCUAAAGAGGUGUAUUUGGACUGAGAUAGACUGAAAUUUUAACUGCUACUGAGGGUCAUUGUGCCAUAGAAGCUAGAGGUAUUUCCACCCAAUUGAAAUGAGACUGUGGAUGGCCAGUGGGCUGUAGCCCAACUAUCUGAACUCCACUUGAGGCAAAUACACAUUCAUCUUGAUGUUGGUAUAUGCCUGACAGCUACUGGAUAGUUGGAUUUUGGAGACCUCUUUGUAUUUGUGUAUAUUUUAAUUUAGUGUUUAACACUAAGAGUACGGUAUCCACUCACAUUCAGUGGUAUGUAGAAUUAUGGUAGUUUAUGCAUUUAGGUUUGGCUUGUAAGUUGAGAAGGUUUUAUAAUUUCAUUUUUAGACUGAGGUUGAAAAUAGGUGGU